CCUACGGGUGGCAGCAGUGAGGAAUAUUGGUCAAUGGGCGCGAGCCUGAACCAGCCAAGUAGCGUGAAGGAUGACUGCCCUACGGGUUGUAAACUUCUUUUAUAAAGGAAUAAAGUGAGGCACGUGUGCCUUUUUGUAUGUACUUUAUGAAUAAGGAUCGGCUAACUCCGUGCCAGCAGCCGCGAUAAUACGGAGGAUCCGAGCGUUAUCCGGAUUUAUUGGGUUUAAAGGGAGCGUAGAUGGGUUGUUAAGUCAGUUGUGAAAGGUUGCGGCUCAACCGUAAAAUUGCAAUUGAUACUGGCAGGCUGGAGUACAGUUGAGGUAGGCGGAAUUCGUGGUGUAGCGGUGAAAUGCUUAGAUAUCACGAAGAACUCCGAUUGCGAAGGCAGCUUACUAAACUGCCACUGACAUUGAUGCUCGAAAGUGUGGGGAUCAAACAGGAUUAGAUACCCUAGUAGUC
rnacentral:rRNA from 1 species